rnacentral:rRNA from 1 species
UCCGUAGGUGAACCUGCGGAAGGAUCAUUAGUGAAUUAAACAUGCUUGGUGUCUUCGCUUCGGCAAGGCCCUUGCUUAAAUCACAUCCUAACACCUGUGAACUGUAAGACGUAUGAUGAGGUCUUUGGCCAAGUCAUCGUCUGCCCAUUUUUAACAAACAAUUAAUGUAACAAACGUAGUCUUAUUAUAACCUAAUAAAACUUUCAACAACGGAUCUCUUGGCUCUCGCAUCGAUGAAGAACGCAGCGAAAUGCGAUAAGUAAUGUGAAUUGCAGAAUUCAGUGAAUCAUCGAAUCUUUGAACGCACCUUGCGCUCUUUGGUAUUCCGAAGAGCAUGCCUGUUUGAGUGUCAUGAAAAUAUCAACCUUGACUUGGGUUUUGUGCUCUAGUCUUGGCUUGGAAUUGGGUGCUUGCCGCUUUUACGAGCGGCUCACCUUAAAUGUAUUAGCUGGAUCUGUCUUUGAGACUUGGUUUGACUUGGCGUAAUAAGUAUUUCGCUAAGGACAUUCUUCGGAGGGGCCUCGUUUCUAGGACGCUUGUCCGCUUCCCAAUACAAGUUCCACCUCGUGGACAUGACUUUUUAUUAUCUGGCCUCAAAUCAGGUAGGACUACCCGCUGAACUUAAGCAUAUCAAUAAGCGGAGGA